rnacentral:rRNA from 1 species
GACGAACGCUGGCGGCGUGCUUAACACAUGCAAGUCGAACGGAAAGGCCCUGCUUUUGUGGGGUGCUCGAGUGGCGAACGGGUGAGUAACACGUGAGUAACCUGCCCUUGACUUUGGGAUAACUUCAGGAAACUGGGGCUAAUACCGGAUAUGAGCUCCUGCUGCAUGGUGGGGGUGGGAAAGUUUCGGCGGUUGGGGAUGGACGUGCGGUUUAUCAGCGUGUUGGUGGGGUAGUGGCUUACCAAGGCUUUGACGGGUAGCCGGACUGAGAGGGUGACCGGCCCCAUUGGGACUGAGAUACGGGCCGGACUCAUACGGGAGGAAGCGGUGGGGAAUAGUGCAAAAUGGGCGGAAGCCGGAUGGAGCAACGCCGCGUGCGGGAUGACGGCCUUCGGGUUGUAAACCGCUUUCGCCUGUGACGAAGCGUGAGUGACGGUAAUGGGUAAAGAGGCACCGGCUAACUACGUG